rnacentral:rRNA from 1 species
GUCUAGGGCCAUUCCUCCCUGAAUGCACCUGACCUCACUGAUAGAAGCCAAGCAGGGUUGGGCCUGAUUAGUACUUGGUUGGGAGAUGCCUUAUCACCCAGAGAAAAUCUAAGUAAGCUGGCAUUCGAGGCA